UACGGGGGGGGCAAGCGUUGUUCGGAAUUACUGGGCGUAAAGGGCUCGUAGGCGGCCAACUAAGUCAUACGUGAAAUCCCUCGGCUUAACCGGGGAACUGCGUCUGAUACUGGAUGGCUUGAGUCCUGGAGAGGAAGGCGGAAUUCUCGGUGUAGAGGUGAAAUUCGUAGAUAUCGAGAGGAACACCGGUGGCGAAGGCGGCCUUCUGGACAGUGACUGACGCUGAGACGCGAAAGCGUGGGGAGCAAACAGG
rnacentral:rRNA from 1 species